ACUGAGCGGCGGACGGGUGAGUAACGCGUGGGUAACCUGCUCAUACAGGGGAUAACAGUUGGAAACGGCCGCUAAUACCGCAUAAGCGCACAGUACCGCAUGGUACGGUGUGAAAAACUCCGGUGGUAUGAGAUGGACCCGCGUCUGAUUAGGUAGUUGGUGGGGUAACGGCCUACCAAGCCGACGAUCAGUAGCCGACCUGAGAGGGUGACCGGCCACAUUGGGACUGAGACACGGCCCAA
rnacentral:rRNA from 1 species